rnacentral:rRNA from 1 species
UACGUAGGGGGCAAGCGUUAUCCGGAUUUAUUGGGCGUAAAGGGAACGCAGGCGGUCUUUUAAGUCUGAUGUGAAAGCCUUCGGCUUAACCGGAGUAGUGCAUUGGAAACUGGGAGACUUGAGUGCAGAAGAGGAGAGUGGAACUCCAUGUGUAGCGGUGAAAUGCGUAGAUAUAUGGAAGAACACCAGUGGCGAAAGCGGCUCUCUGGUCUGCAACUGACGCUGAGGCUCGAAAGCAUGGGUAGCGAACAGG